rnacentral:rRNA from 1 species
GUAGCCCCCACUAGUCUGGGAUACCACUUGGAAACAGGUGCUAAUACCGGAUAAGAAAGCAGAUCGCAUGAUCAAGCUUUUAAAAAAGGUCGGCGUAAGCUGUCGCUAUGGGAUGGCCCCGCGGUGCAUUAGCUAGUUGGUAAGGUAAAAGGACUUACCAAGGCGAUGAUGCAUAGCCGAGUUGAGAGACUGAUCGGCCACAUUGGGACUGAGACACGGCCCAAACUCCUACGGGAGGCAGCAGUAGGGAAUCUUCCACAAUGGACGCAAGUCUGAUGGAGCAACGCCGCGUGAGUGAAGAAGGUUUUCGGAUCGUAAAGCUCUGUUGUUGGUGAAGAAGGAUAGAGGUAGUAACUGGCCUUUAUUUGACGGUAAUCAACCAGAAAGUCACGGCUAACUACGUGCCAGCAGCCGCGGUAAAU